rnacentral:lncRNA from 1 species
AAACCAGCUUGUCGGCGCCAUUUUGUCUCGGCAGCGGUGGCCGUAGCUCCAUCGCAUUUUAUGUUUCUGGCGAGAAGGGAACGGAGUUUUCAUCAGGUAGAUUGGUUUUUGUGCGGCCGUCCUCCACCGUUUCCUCCAGGACAGCACCUAGUCGUGGCCGGAGGAGUCUCAGAGCUGUCAGAAAGGUGAGCAUUUGUACAGUGAAACAUUUUGCUACACAAAAGUGAUGUUUAGGAAUACUAACAAAUUAUUUUCAAGGUUAGUUGUGUUUAACUACUUCGUGUUUCCCUGUAGUCUUCUCUAAAGUUUCCCCUUCUUGUGUGUAUUCAUUCUCUCAGUGCUUUUGUAGCCUGAUAAGACCCCCUGUACGUGUGCCUCUUUGCAUUUGUUUGACUCUUCCCAAAUUUGAAACUCUGUUCCCAGAAAGCAGCAACUGUUUUAUUUAAUCACUGUUAGGUUCCCCCACCUGAUAGGUGCUCUGUUGCAGAUACUUCUUCUAAAUCUGUAUGCACGUUUGUAUACAAAAUGUGAAAUAAGCCAACUUAACAUCUUUCGUUUUCUUAGGUUUUUUGUUGUUGUUGUUCGGGUUUGUUUUGUUUUUGAGACAGGAUCUUACUCUGUCACCCAGGCUGGAAUGCAAUGGCAUGAUCAUAGCUCAUUGCAGCCUCAAACUCA